rfam:Ricinus communis cultivar Hale ctg_1100012350668, whole genome shotgun sequence.
CAGAUAACAGUGAAGCCUAAGAAUUAAUGUGUAUUCGAAUCAUAGUGUUGAUCUUCCCCAAGAGCUCACAUCGACGGGAAGGUUUGGCACCUCGAUGUAAGCUCUUCGCCACCUGGGGCUGUAGUAUGUUCCAAGGGUUGGACUGUUCACCCAUUAAAGCAGUACGUGAGCUAGGUUCAGAACGUCGUAAGACAGUUCGGUCCAUAUUCGGUGUGGGCGUUAGGGCAUUGAGAGGACCUUUCCCUAGUAUGAGAGGACCGGGAAGGACGCACCUCCGGUGUACCAGUUAUCGUGCCCACGGUAAAUGUUGGGUAGCCAAGUGCAGAGCGGAUAACUGCUGAAAGCAUCUAAGUAUAUAUGUGUGUGUUUCUCUAUGUAUAUGUAUAUGUUUGUAUAUUUUCUAAAAAAAUAUUAAAUGGCUUAACAAUAGAAUGACUUUAUUUUUCUAUAAAAAGUCUAAGAUUCAAUAUUUAUG